rnacentral:lncRNA from 1 species
UGAGCUUCUGUUUCGUAUUCGUUCUUUGAAAUGCUCCGAAAUGGUCCAUACGCAAUUGAUAUGUUCCGAAAUGUUUCAUUUAUUAUUGAUAUGCUCCGAAACAUUUCAUACGCCUUUGAUAUGCUCCGAAAUGUUUCAUUUACUAUUGUUAUGCUUCGAAAUGUUCCAUAUGUAGUUGAUAUGUUCCGGAACAUUUUAUACGCCAUUGAUAUGCUCCAAUUACUCUGUGCUCCAUUUGCUAUGAACUGAUAUAUUCUGAAAUGUCCUAUUUGCCAUUAAUAUGCUCCGGAUCAUCUCGUACGCUAUUGAUAUGCUCCAAUUGCUCUAUGCUCC